rnacentral:lncRNA from 1 species
CUUCCGCUGCUUAUUAUAAUCCAUCAUUUUGACCUAACCAUAUAUUUAUAUGCUAGUAAAAAAUAAAAAUCUUUAUACUAUUACCAUUAUUAUUGCUUUUAUCACCGAUAUCUUUAAUUAUAGAUAUCUUACUUAUUUUUUACUUUUAUUUAUGUUUUGUGUUAUGUUAAUAUGAGUUAACUUAAAUAAAGAAUUGUGAUAAGUGAGACUCAUAUAGUUGAUUUCAACUUAUUAUGGGUGAAAUGUUGUUAUUGGUGCUGCUUAUCUUACUAUCAAAGGUGAAUUAGGUAAUGGAAGUAACUUACUUGCGAAUUCGUCUCCACUCGAGCUGAUGCAAAGCUUGGCAAUUGUUAUAAUCCGAUUUUGCUAGCUCCAGAUAUAGGUUAUUGUUAACAAACCCUGAUGCAAAGCUUGGCAAUUGUUAUAGUCCGAUUUUGCUAGCUCCAGAUAUAGGUUAUUGUUAACAA